rnacentral:rRNA from 1 species
GACGAACGCUGGCGGCGUGCCUAAUACAUGCAAGUAGAACGCUGAAGAGAGGAGCUUGCUCUUCUUGGAUGAGUUGCGAACGGGUGAGUAACGCGUAGGCAACCUGCCUUGUAGCGGGGGAUAACUAUUGGAAACGAUAGCUAAUACCGCAUAACAAUGGCUGACACAUGUCAUUUAUUUGAAAGGGGCAAUUGCUCCACUACAAGAUGGACCUGCGUUGUAUUAGCUAGUAGGUGAGGUAAUGGCUCACCUAGGCGACGAUACAUAGCCGACCUGAGAGGGUGAUCGGCCACACUGGGACUGAGACACGGCCCAGACUCCUACGGGAGGCAGCAGUAGGGAAUCUUCGGCAAUGGGGGCAACCCUGACCGAGCAACGCCGCGUGAGUGAAGAAGGUUUUCGGAUCGUAAAGCUCUGUUGUAAGUCAAGAACGGGUGUGAGAGUGGAAAGUUCACACUGUGACGGUAGCUUACCAGAAAGGGACGGCUAACUACGUG